AGAAAAUAAAGUGGAGUAGUAGGGGUAGGAAGUAGGAAGUAGGAAGUAGGAAGGUUGUGUUGUAGUUGGAGGAUAGAAUGGAGUAAAAGAGAAGGGUAAUAAAGUUGAGGAGAGAGAGAAUUGGGAUGGACCUGGUGGAGUUGGAGGCGGUGGAAGGGCUCCGAUGGACGUGGAAUUCAUGGCCGGCGGAGGGGAAGAAAAGCAGUAACAGUCUGGUGAUCCCUCUCAGCAUAAUGUGCACACCCUUGGCCUUGAUGCAGAGCAGCGAUGUCCCUCUUCUGCCAUACGAUCCACUUGGGUGCUCCAGAUGCGGCGCCGUUUUGAACCCCUACGCCCGACUCGACUACCAGUCACGCAUCUGGCACUGCCCCUUCUGCUCCCGCCGCAAUCCCUUCCCCCGCCCCAUCGCCGACACCAACCUCCCCGCCGAGCUCUUUCCCACCUACAGCACCGUCGAGUACUCUCUCCUCCCUCCCUCUCCCCCUCCCCCCGCCUUCCUCUUCCUCCUCGACCUCUCCACCCCCGACCACCAGCUCCUCCCCCUCAAGAACCACCUCCUCCACCUCCUCCACCACCUCCCCGACCACGCCCUCGUCUCCCUCCUCACCUUCGACUCCUUCGUCUACCUCCACCGCCUCCGCUACUCCCACUUCUCCUCCCUUCUCCUCUUCCACGGCCACCGCCACCUCUCCUCCACCCAGAUCCGCCACUUCCUCGGACAAUCCCCCAAACACUCCUUCCUCCUCCCUAUCUCCGAAUGCCAAUUCACCAUCACCUCCGCUAUCGAAGAGAUCCGCUCCACUUCCACCUCCGCCUCCCCCUCCCAAACUCGCCCCCCGCGCUGCACCGGCGCUGCAAUCUCCGUCGCCCUCGGCCUCCUCGAAUCUUGCCAAAUCUCCACCGGCUCCAGAAUCAUGCUCUUCACCUCCGGCCCCGCCACUCUCGGUCCCGGAAUCGUCGUCGAUUCUGAUCUCCGCCAACCUAUCCGAACCCACCACCACAUCUUCAACGCCCAAGCUACGCACCACGCCAAGUCCUGCGCCUUCUAUAACCAAGUCUCCAAGAGGCUCUCCGACGCUUCUGUUGUCCUCGAUCUCUUCGCCUCUUCCCUCGACCAACUCGGGGCCGCCGAGCUACGCCAACCCGUGGAACGCUCCGGCGGAUUCAUGAUCCUCUCCGACUCCUUCGAUUCCGAGCAGUUCAAGAAAUGUCUCAGGCAUAUAUUCAAGUGCGACGACCACGGCCAUUUGGAGAUGAAUUUCGAUGCCACUAUUGAAAUUGUCACCACCCGAGAUGUCAAAAUCUCCGGAGCGCUUGGUCCCUGCGUGUCUCUUCAGAGAAAGAAUGGUUUGGUGAGUGAGACUGAGGUUGGAGAAGGUGGCACCUCUGUGUGGAAGUUAAACACAGUCACCAACAAAACCUGCAUUGCCUUCUUCUUCCAAGUGAAUUAUGAGCACAAAAUUCAACCUGGCUCUGCGUUUUUGAUUCAGUUUAUAACGCGAUACAGGCAGGGGAACUUGGGAUACCGGAAAAGAGUUACCACUGCUGCAAGGCGAUGGGUUGCGAACCAUUCCGCCGAUAUUGCCGCCGGCUUUGAUCAAGAAGCCGCCGCUGCGGUUAUGGCCAGACUCGCCAUUCUCCGGGCAGAGACUUGCCAUGCCCGUGAUGUCAUUCGAUGGCUGGAUGACACACUUAUUAGUUUUGCUUCCAAGUUUGGGGACUAUGUGCCGGAAGAUGCAUCUUCUUUCCGCCUAUCAUCAAACUUUUCCCUUUAUCCCCAGUUUAUGUUCCACUUGAGGAGAUCUCAAUUCAUUGAUGUUUGCAACACUACUCCCGAUGAAACUGCAUUUUUCAGGCUGGUGCUGAACCGGGAGGGAGUAGUAGGCUCUCUUAUAAUGAUUCAACCAACGCUUUUCCAGUAUUCGUUUGAUGGCCCACCUGUUCCUGUACUACUAGAUAUUCGUUCUGUUUCUCCCGAUUUUAUCUUGCUCUUUGAUUCUUUCUUCUAUGUGGUGAUUCAUUAUGGCUCCAAGAUUGCACAGUGGAGGAAGCUGGGUUAUGACAAGGAUCCCAAUCAUGAGAACUUCAGAAAGUUGUUGGAGGCCCCAGAACUGGAUGCCGAGCAAUUGGUGGCUGACCGGAUUCCGGUGCCCAGGAUUAUAAGAUGUGACCAGCAUAGUAGUCAGGCUAGAUUUCUUCUUGCCAAGUUGAAUCCAUCUGUUACUCAAAAUUCAACCUACACAGAAGGCUCGGAUAUUAUAUUUACCGAUGACCUCAGCUUGGAAGUUUUUCUAGACCAGUUGCAGGUGCUGGCGGUGCAAAGCUGAUAAAGAAGGACAUUCAUUUGAAUUAUUCUCUAUAUCGGCUCACGUCAAAGAAUAUUUGAAUUUUGCUAACCCUAGUGGUCUUUUCAGGGCUUCAUCUAUCGCUGACUGUCAGGUGAUAUUGAUUUGGAUUUGGUAAAACUGGUUGGUGACGCUUACAAAAUAAUACCUCCUCACCCUCAGACACAUGAUGCUAUAGUUAUGUGGUUGACAUCAUAGAAAUUACAGACUAUGGAGCCUCCAGUAAUCACUCCGUAUCAAAUCCUUGAUUGCAAACCUUCGUCACAUACAAGAUUUAUUUAGAAAGCUAGUGACAAACUCUGGCCUGAAGUUGAUUAUUACAUUUGUUUAUUAAUUUCAGAAUAUUGUAAAAUACAUCCAGAUCAACAAUGUAAAAAAUGGAAUACUCGUUUAGUAUCAGUCUGGAGUAUGGUAUUUCUUAUAGGCAUAACUCAGUUGAAAAGAAAUGUAAAAUCUCCCCUGUUCCUUGGAGUAUUUGGUAAAAAAGAAAUGUAUUUCCAGCAGUUCUUCCAAUCCACAUCUAUGUUAUGCGAC